rnacentral:rRNA from 1 species
GGCCCGCGUUGGAUUAGCCAGUUGGCAGGGUAACGGCCUACCAAAGCGACGAUCCAUAGCCGGCCUGAGAGGGCGACCGGCCACAUUGGGACUGAGACACGGCCCAAACUCCUACGGGAGGCAGCAGUGGGGAAUAUUGCACAAUGGGGGAAACCCUGAUGCAGCGACGCCGCGUGAGUGAAGAAGUAUUUCGGUAUGUAAAGCUCUAUCAGCAGGGAAGAAGAUGACGGUACCUGAGUAAGAAGCCCCGGCUAACUAC